rnacentral:rRNA from 1 species
GACGAACGCUGGCGGCGUGCCUAAUACAUGCAAGUCGAGCGGAUGACGGAGGAGCUUGCUCCUCUAGAUUCAGCGGCGGACGGGUGAGUAACACGUGGGCAACCUGCCCUGUAGAUUGGGAUAACUCCGGGAAACCGGGGCUAAUACCGAAUAAUCCUUCGGACCUCAUGGUCCGAUGUUGAAAGACGGUUUCGGCUGUCACUACAGGAUGGGCCCGCGGCGCAUUAGCUAGUUGGUGAGGUAACGGCUCACCAAGGCCACGAUGCGUAGCCGACCUGAGAGGGUGAUCGGCCACACUGGGACUGAGACACGGCCCAGACUCCUACGGGAGGCAGCAGUAGGGAAUCUUCCACAAUGGACGAAAGUCUGAUGGAGCAACGCCGCGUGAGUGAAGAAGGUUCUCGGAUCGUAAAACUCUGUUGUGAGGGAAGAACAAGUACCGGAGUAACUGCCGGUGCCUUGACGGUACCUCAUUAGAAAGCCACGGCUAACUACGUGCCAGCCGCCGCCGUAAAAC